GUUGGGUAGGGGAGCGUUCUGUAAGCCUGCGAAGGUGUACUGUGAGGUAUGCUGGAGGUAUCAGAAGUGCGAAUGCUGACAUAAGUAACGAUAAUGCGGGUGAAAAACCCGCACGCCGGAAGACCAAGGGUUCCUGUCCAACGUUAAUCGGGGCAGGGUGAGUCGACCCCUAAGGCGAGGCUGAAAAGCGUAGUCGAUGGGAAACGGGUUAAUAUUCCCGUACUGGUGGUAACUGCGAUGGGGGAACGGAGAAGGCUAGGUUGUCCGGGCGACGGUCGUCCCGGUUCAAGCAGGUAGGCAGAGUGAUUAGGCAAAUCCGGUCACUUAAUGCUGAGAUGUGAUGACGAACCACCAAGGUGGUGAAGCAAUUGAUGCCCCGCUUCCAGGAAAAGCCUCUAAGCUUCAGGUUACCAACAAUCGUACCCCAAACCGACACAGGUGGUCAGGUAGAGAAUACUCAGGCGCUUGAGAGAACUCGGGUGAAGGAACUAGGCAAAAUGGUGCCGUAACUUCGGGAGAAGGCACGCUGGCGGUAGGUAAAGUCCCUCGCGGACGGCGCUGAAGCCAGUCGAAGAUACCAGCUGGCUGCAACUGUUUAUUAAAAACACAGCACUGUGCAAACACGAAAGUGGACGUAUACGGUGUGACGCCUGCCCGGUGCUGGAAGGUUAAUUGAUGGGGUCAGCCGUAAGGCGAAGCUCCUGAUCGAAGCCCCAGUAAACGGCGGCCGUAACUAUAACGGUCCUAAGGUAGCGAAAUUCCUUGUCGGGUAAGUUCCGACCUGCACGAAUGGCGUAAUGAUGGCCAGGCUGUCUCCACCCGAGACUCAGUGAAAUUGAACUCGCUGUGAAGAUGCAGUGUACCCGCGGCAAGACGGAAAGACCCCGUGAACCUUUACUAUAGCUUGACACUGAACAUUGAGCCUUGAUGUGUAGGAUAGGUGGGAGGCUUUGAAGUGUGGACGCCAGUCUGCAUGGAGCCAACCUUGAAAUACCACCCUUUAACGUUUGAUGUUCUAACCUAGGCCCAUAAACUGGGUCGGGGACCGUGUCUGGUGGGUAGUUUGACUGGGGCGGUCUCCUCCUAAAGAGUAACGGAGGAGCACGAAGGUUGGCUAAGCAUGGUCGGACAUCAUGCGGUUAGUGCAAAGGCAUAAGCCAGCUUGACUGCGAGAGUGACGGCUCGAGCAGGUACGAAAGUAGGUCUUAGUGAUCCGGUGGUUCUGAAUGGAAGGGCCAUCGCUCAACGGAUAAAAGGUACUCCGGGGAUAACAGGCUGAUACCGCCCAAGAGUUCAUAUCGACGGCGGUGUUUGGCACCUCGAUGUCGGCUCAUCACAUCCUGGGGCUGAAGUAGGUCCCAAGGGUAUGGCUGUUCGCCAUUUAAAGUGGUACGCGAGCUGGGUUUAGAACGUCGUGAGACAGUUCGGUCCCUAUCUGCCGUGGGCGUUGGAAGAUUGAGAGGGGUUGCUCCUAGUACGAGAGGACCGGAGUGAACGCACCACUGGUGUUCGGGUUGUCAUGCCAAUGGCAUUGCCCGGUAGCUAAGUGCGGAAGAGAUAACCGCUGAAAGCAUCUAAGCGGGAAACUUGCCUCGAGAUGAGUCUUCCCUGUCGCUUUAAGCGACCUAAAGGAACGUUUAAGACUAAGACGUUGAUAGGCUGGGUGUGUAAGCGUAGCGAUACGUUGAGCUAACCAGUACUAAUGAACCGUGAGGCUUAACCUGACAACACCGAAAGUGUUUUG
rnacentral:rRNA from 1 species